rnacentral:rRNA from 1 species
GACGAACGCUGGCGGCGUGCUUAACACAUGCAAGUCGAACGAAGUGGCGAACGGGUGAGUAACGCGUAAUCAACCUGCCCUUCAGAGGGGGACAACAGUUGGAAACGACUGCUAAUACCGCAAACUGAAGGGGGGGAUGGCGUGUGAUUGGCUAGUUGGAGGGGUAACGGCCCCCCAAGGCGAUGAUCAGUAGCCGGUCUGGGAGGGUGAAUGGCCAAAUUGGGACUGGGAAACGGCCCAGACCCCUACGGGAGGCAGCAGUGGGGAAUCUUCCGAAAUGGACGUAAGUCUGACGGAGCAACGCCGCGUGAGUGAUGACGGCCUUCGGGUUGUAAAGCUCUGUUAAUCGGGACGCGGUACCGGAAUAGAAAGCCACGGCUAACUACGUGCCAGCAGCCGCGGUAAUAC